GCGUAGCAGGAGCAGUUAAGAGUGGAGUAGCAAGGGAAACUUCACUUAUAAGUUUAUAAAGAGUUUAACAAUUGCAUUGCCCUUUUGGAAGGUUUAUAUUUUGAGAAUUUUCUUUUUGAAGUCUUUUAUUUCGGUCAAGUGGACUCAUUCCCUCUUGGUUCCGUGCAGCCAGUGAGCCUCUCCUUCUGUAGGUGUAACCUCUCCAGCUCGGACCUCUGCUUCUCCAUGGCCUUUUGCAGCUUCACGUGUUCCUGUUUCUCUGAUGCCGUGAGGUCCCUCAUCCUGCAAAGCAGACCUGGGUCAAAUAAGUAACUGUUGAAUUCAAAUAUUUUUCUGGUGCAAUUGAGCCAACCACAAAGACCAGAAGGAUUGCAAUCUCUGUUGGAAGGAAAACCAGCAUACACAGGGGUCCCCAGGACCCAACCUGAGAACUGGAGCUAUAAAGGGACCUGAGCUUACUGGCAAUAUGGUGAUAGGAGAACAUAAAGAUGUGCGCUUGCCUGACUAGUGCUUCUUUGAGCCUGCUGUUCUGCUCUUCCAGAUGUUUAACAUGAUAGCUGGAUGCUGCACCAUGUGACCCUGGGGAAGAGGCACAAAACCUGUUCAGUUCAUCCAAACAAGCACUAACCAUGAGUUUUUUAUUUUUAUAUAUGACUCCAAUGAAAUAAAAUUGUGGGUCCCACGACCUGCAAUCUCACAGAAAUGUGGGUGGCUUGAUAUUGGCAGCAUGUUCUUUGGGAAACUCGUUUUCACAUUUUCAUAAACGUGUGCAUGUAUAGAUAUCUGUAUCAUUCCAUUAUGCUUGACUAAAAAUGCUAAAUAACUGUUGAAAUAUUGGGCUCCAGAAUUAUUGGCACCAUUUAUAAAAAUAUAAUAUAAUGCUGCAUAUA